rnacentral:misc_RNA from 1 species
AACGCACAUUGCGCCCCGUGGUAUUCCGCGGGGCAUGCCUGUUCGAGCGUCGGUCACGACCCUUCCGCCCCCGGUGCCAUCUGCGCGCCGGCGGGCGGGCGUUGAGCGUUCUCCCCCGGGCUUCCGGGGGCGCUCUGAAUGUGUUGGCGGCGGCCACGAGCCCCGGACGUAGCGGAUCGCAAGAGAUGUCGUCUGGCCGGCCCGCGCGCCCGCCCGCCCAGAGACCCCACCACAACGUUCUGACCUCGAAUCAGGUAGGGAUACCCGCUGAACUUAA